rnacentral:lncRNA from 1 species
UAUCCAAAAGAAGGGAAUCCCUAUCGGAGACCCGAUUGUGGGCCUGAUGGCUGAACUAGUGGUUGAUAUAAAGAAGCUACUGUUUUACGUAUGUUCAUGCCCCACCUCAAAUUAUAUACACGAUACGUCAAUGACAUCUGUAUUAUAUGGGAAGACAAUGACUGUACAGAUAACAUGCAGUGCUCCGUUACAGAUGCUAGUCUUGGUUUGUCUACUAGAGUAGAGCAGCGAGUCACAGAUCAAUUCCACUUUCUGGAUAUACUCGCUCAAACAGAGAGAGAGGAAAAUACAUAAAUAUAUAUAUAGAAAGCCUACCUAUUUCCCAGUUGUAAUCCCAGCCUGAUCAGCUGAUCCCAUGCCAUACAAGCUGGCAGCCUUUAGAGCCAUGAUUGCAAGAGCCUUCAUCCACAUCACAAACAACAUGGGCAGACAAAGAGAAUGAACAUAAAUAUAUUCAUCAACUAGGGUACAAAUAUGACUACCCAUAUAAAGUGAUAGAGGGAAUAUGGAAGAAACAAAUAAGGUUAUGGCAAAGAA